GACGGUCUCCUCUCUCUCUCCGCAGGACGGCCGUCCGCACUGUCGGCCUUGCCGGCCAUGAGUGGGAUGGCCGACGUGAACUCCGCCAGCCGCCCCCACUAUGCCUCGUCCAUCCCUGUGCCUCGAGCUGCCUCCCAGACCCGGAUCCACACCCCGGGCGCCUCUCCGCAGCUGUGGCCACGCCAGGCUGGCCUGGCCCCAAGCCCGCAGCGAGCAGCGUCCCCGAGACUGGGCAAGGCCACCGGCCCUCCCCGAGGCCCCUCGCCGAAGGCCUCCCGGGGGAGGGGCCCCCCCAGGGCCUCUGGGGGGGCGAAGGAGUCAGCCGAGGGUGCCGAUGGCCUCUGCAGCUCCCCGUGGAGCAGCCCCAGGGCCAGCCCCAAAGCAGCCCUGUCCAGCCCGGCGGGGCCCAGAAGAGGGGAGACACAGAGCCCCCAGGGCAGGAGGUCAGCCCGGGAGGCGAUUCCCGUCCUCCAGACCCGGAGCGGGAGCCCGUCCGGGCCGCUCUCCAGACCGCGUGGAGAAGCCCAGACGCCAGGGCUUCCCGAAGGAGCUGAGCCGCCCAGCUGCCCGGGAGGGGACCGAAGAGACAAAACCUGCGGGAGCCCCGGGGCACCCCGGCCUUUGGAGCCUGAGGCCGGGGCAGCCCGCGGCCAGGUGCAGAGCAGGCGCCCCGCCCCCGCCCUGGGGACCGUCAGCUUCUCCUCCGCACAUCAGCAGAGCCAGCCGGUCACCGCCACGGUGGCCCCCUUCCAGUACCGGUUGCGGACAGACCAGGAGCCCGGCCCCCUCCCCCAGGGUGGCUGGGCUGCGGAUGGCUACUCCAGCCGCCCCUGUGGGACCGAGGACAGCUUCUCCGGUGCAGGGCUCAGGCUGUGGGGGCUGCUGGGGCCAUGACAGGAAGAUGCAGCUAGGAGACUGACAGCCCAGAGCCAGGCUCCGAGCAAAGCCCGACCAGCCCGGGAGGUGCCGGGCGCCAGGCCACGGUCCGGAGCCAGCUGCUCCUCUCUCAGACCGGCUUUAACGGGCCUCUCCCCGCGGGUCACCGUCCCUGUGGCAUGCUGCGUCACAGCGUUUCACCUGAUGUGAGUGGUGCUGUUAGCUGAGCCUCAGGGACCAGAAUGUGAGACUUCCCAAGAACAGCCACUUCUCCAAGGGCAGGGCCACUGCCCGUCCCCAGGCCAGUCUCUGGCCCUGGCAGCCACUCAAACUAUCCGGAGGACAGCUGUGACCCACAUGGAAGCUCCGUGAGACUCCACGCUGCAGGGAGCAGCUCUGUCCUCUGGCUUCCCAGACAAAGGGACGUUUGUCCCAGGAAAGAGACAAACUUGCUUUUGGCAAACCCAAGAUUGUCAUAGCGUCAGCUCCGUGCCCUGCUCCGGUGGGCAGAGCUGGGUGCAGAGACAGCCUCUCCCAGACGUCACCAGGCACUGGUGGCACGCCAUCCCUGCCUGCCUUGUCCUCUGCUGGGCAGGUGGUCGCGUGUCCCUCUCGGCCUGGGACUGGGUCCUUCUGAACCGUCUUCAGGCCUGGUCUCCAGCAGUGACGUGGAGCCUCUGGGCCCUGAAAACAGCAGCCACACUCAUUGUUGCCCGAUGAGCCUCGGGGCGAGGCCUGUGGGGUGGAGACAGCCUGGAACAGGACACCCCGCCUCCCACAAUAAGCACAUGCGCGGGGCCCGGGGCACAGCUGGGCACAAAAGGAAACCAAAUUUUACUGGCACCGAAAGGCCGUGGGGAUCAGAGCGCGGUCACCGGGGUCUGCGUCUCUGUCUUUACAUCCGCAGUUUGUCAGUGCGAUAGCUCCCUCGUUUGCGUGCCACGUGGCAGGCGCCGGGGACGGCCACCUCGCCGGGCUCACACUCGGCACCGCCAUGCCCGCCGAGGCCGCGUCUGGUGUCUGCGCAGGCGCGCUUGGUGGUCCCCAGGCUCAUCAGCUGGAGGAGCAGGCCCGCCAGCUCAACAUGGGUGUGGGGGUCACCCUGUGGGGCGGCGUGCCAGGACCCUGGGGUGGCGGGCUUCCUUAGGUCUCCUGGGGACGGGGCAGGGGGAAGGUCCGCAGCACAGCCUGUGCUCUGGCACUGGCCGGCCGUCAUGGUGACCCAUCAUGGCCAGGGAUAUGCCCGAUUCUGCUAGGCGGGGUGGGGAGAUUUGGGAUCUGCUUCAUAGGGGAGCCUGAACCCCUCUGAGCUUGAGAGAAAGGACAGUGAAGGCUCCUGUCCGGGCCGUGCUGCACGCCCCACCCCCCGCCCCGCACCGAACUUCAGCCUGGGCAUGACACGACCCAUUCGUUCGUUCAUUCGGUCGGUCAGUCAGUCAGUCAAUCAACAAACCAGCAGUGGGCACUUGCCUUGUGCCAACACCACACUUGACGCUGGGGUGAAAGGUGAGACUUUGACCUGCCUUCAAGGACUUAUCGUCGGGGACCAUCCAGUGCGCCUGCCCUAGAGCCCGUUGGCCUCCCAGAAAGCCGCCCGGCGCCCGCCCUUGUCAGAGCUGACCAGGCUUGUCCCCGGGCCGUGGGAAGGGCACUGUGUGUCACAGACGGGCGUCGAUGUGCCGCGCGGACCAGGCACGGCUGUCUCCCAGCUGCUGGCCGUGCCGUUUCCACGUUGGUUCGUGGGUGAUGCGGGCAGUGAACUCCCAUCGUCCCUGUCCCCUAGCACAGCCCCCAAUCAGCGCUGGUGACAUAGUGCGCCGAGUGAGCAAGGGGCGGAGGCCGUGGCUGUCCCCCAGAGGACAGUCCCCCGGGGGACCGCGCCUCGCUCUGCUAGCUCAGGAGGGGACCCGCCUUGCUCUGCCCUCUCCCCAGCGUGGUCCCUGAGGCCCAGAGUCCCUGGCGGAGCGGGGGAGGCCCCACCGCUUUCCACUGACUGCCAGGGGGCAGAGUCCAGUGAGGCGGGGUCACUGUGCUGCUGGAGGAGACUGUCCCCUGGCGACUUGCCAACAAGCAGGGGCGUUGGCCUUCGAUGUCCCCAGGGUGUCUAGAACCAGCUGCUGCUCCGCUGGCCCCCCUGCUGUGCUGCUCCCUCCUGCCAGCGCUGCACCCCCCU